AACCCCCGCCGAUUCUUCAGUUCUCCUCCUCCGACCACCACCACCGCCUACAUACCUAGUACUAGUGCGUCUUAAUUAGUCCUUAGCAGCAAUCAGCAGCGAGCUAGCUAGCAGUAGCAGAGCAUCAACCAUCUCAGUGAGCAAGAAGGCAUGGGGAAGCAAGCGUGGAUCCGACACGCAAGGUGUUCGGUGAAAUGCCGGGCGAGCUCGGGGGCCGACCCGACCAAUAAUGGAGCCGCGACGUUGCCGUCAGCUCGGCCAGGGGGUUACUAAGUAGGGCCUGGACUGUCAGCGACGGCGAGCUUGGUAGCAGUAGACUCGGGGCGUGUGAGUGCGUGCGCGUGCUUGGGCAUGGGCAUGGGCAUGCAACUAAGCAAGGUGCAUGGCCAUGUACCUACAACCUGCAGCAGAUAUAAGAGUGUUUGUAAAGGAAGAAGAUACCGGCAAACAAAAACUUCAGGAAUCAUUCCAUGCACGCACUCUCUCUUUCGUCUCCGUUCCUUCAUCUUGAUUCCCACAUCAUCAUGGCCGGAUUCCAGGAAAGUAGCGGCAGCGGCAGUGCAAUUCCGUGUGCUUUUUCGAAAGGAACGCCGAACACGGCCAGGCCCCAGUUCCCACCCGCCUCAAAAGAAGAGGCAACAUCACCAGCCAGCCGCCGCCGCCGUAGCGUCUCGUGGUGCGCCUCCCCUCGUGUCCGCGUUUAGGCGGUGGUGGGCCGCCGACGUGGCCGGUGGCGUAUCGCGGUGCGCCACCCCUCGUGUCGGCGUGCCGUGGACGAGACCAGGCGGUGGCGGGCCCGCCGCCCCCUUGCCGGCUGCCGCGCGCCGGCCACCGCCAGGGCGAGCCAGGCGCUCGGGCGUGCGAUGCCUCGUGUGUACGGCAUAUGAUGGGCGUCAGUGGAGUGGACCGGUGCUCGGUGCUCACGAGGUUUGUUUGGGUUUAGCGUGGGCCCGCCGGGGGAUUAGUGCGUGGCGUGGGUGAUGCUGCGUCUUAUCGGCCUAAUGAUGCGCGUGUGUCGGCACUUGAUUACGCCGCUUAGGAGCCGCCCUGGAAGAUUCGUGUGGCGUCGGACGUCGCAGUCGGUCCGUCCGUGGACGGACCAGGUGUCGACCGGCCGCACCAGGAGUACUCUACUUGUUUCAUUUUUCUUCCGAGUGGAUGGAAUCAUGCAUGGGACGGGAGUCCAUGAAAAUCCAUGGAUGGAGCCAAUCAUCGGUCGCCGAACUAUCCGGAUCGCGCGUGGGGGGACGCCGACGACCUCGUAUCGCUCCCCGUUGAACCGGGUGACAAGUUUAGUUCAGCUGGUGAGAAGUUUCAUGGGGUCUGGUAAUUGCCGUUCGAGUCGACAUCAAUCAGGUUUUGUGCGAGUUGGGGUAAAGAUCAAAACAGGUGGGUGGUGAGUGAGCAAGCAAGCUGCCGGGGAAACUCUGCGGAUUUGGAGAAACAAACAGGCAAAACAAGCUGCCGGCCGGGGCCAUGCAUCUGAUUGAUUGUUUGUUUGACCGGCUCAGGUCAGUGGCGGCGUAAACUUGCAUUCCUGGGCUGUCGUGGGGAUGAAAACAAAUUGGGAUGCUGAGAUUCCGAAAGCAACAUGUGUGUUUGUGUAUGAGUUCGGAGAUCCGCGUAUCAUCUAGCUUAACAUUCGGCGUUGACGCUCGUAUCAUGUUCUCUUCUUUUAUGGGCUGGAUCUGUUGAUUGGCACUAUUGUAGGAUUCGUAUGGGUGCAUGAUCGGGACAACCUCAGAUGUUUUUUUUCUAUAGGAAAUGCUAAUGCCUCACCCAGAAACCAUCACACUAGCUUGGACACCAGAGUAUGGAGUAGAAACGAGAAAAAACACCAAAUCGGUGAACGGAACUACUUCCUUAAGGCCAUGUUCGGUUAAUCCCCUUGCCACAGGGAUUGAAGGGGAUUGGGGAGGUUUAAGAAGGAUUUUGAUUUGCAAGGGAUUUAAUCCCCUUCAAUCCCUUUCAAACCUUUUCAAACCCUGCCAAACCGAACAAGGCCUGAUAAAUAAAUAUAAGAGCGUUUAGAUGACUUUCGGAAAAAGCAGACUAAGCCGGAAAGAUGCACUCUCGACAGAAAAAACGAGCUGCGUUCGCCGGAUGUGAAAUUGGCGUUCGUUGUUGCGACCGCACGUGCACGCGCGAAGACCGUCUGGUCGGCGUUGCGCACGCACGCAUCGCACUGCACGGCACAUCGAGCGGUCGACCGGCCGCUCUGCACGUCUGCGUCGCACACGGUCCAUGCACGUACGUACGUGCAUGCACCUGUCCAGCUCCAACGUGACGUUCUCUGCCAGUGCCCAAUUGCAAUUGCAACCGUGCUGCAUCCUUUUUUUUUUUGAGGGGGUGCUGCAUCUUCUUCUUUGAAAGAGAACGCACGGUGCCGGCCGCAUCUUACUUUGGAUAGAUGCGAGCUGUGGCGACCGCAGAGAGCGAUGUUUGUAGAGCUUUUGUACCAAUUCGUUCGAUUUAUUUCUUCUCCUUCUCAAACAUUCAAACAGUUUUGUCCGUCCGGUUUGCACCCAGUCGUCCGGGGCAGAACAGCCCGGCCUUCCGUCAGAAAAUAGCUGCUUGUAAAUUAAGAAGUGACACACUACUGCACUGCACUGGUACUACUCCCUCCAUCACAGUUUAAAAGGCACAGUUAAAUUUGCGUGCGUUCAUAAUAGACAAGGUUUAUGGCACAUUGCAUUUAUUUCUAGUAGCUAAUUAGUAUUUUGAUAUACUAUUUCUAUAUGCAUGUGUAGUGUGAAUGCUAUUUUUUAGCUCAUCUCACAACCAAUAGAUAACCACCUAGGUCUCAGAGAAUUUCCAAGCGCGCCAUCUAAACCGUGACGGAGAAAACAGUGGCGCUGACCGUUCUCUGAUUGUUUGCUUGACCUGUUCGGUGGCGGCGUAAACUUGCGUUUCUGAGCUCUGUCGAGAGCAUAAAACAACAAAUUGGGAUGCUGACGUUUAUCAUCAUCUAGUAUAUAUAUGAAUGAAACCGACUUAGUCGGUCGGCGUCACGCACCCAACGGCCCAGAUCGAGCGGUCGUCCGGCCGCUCUGGACGUGCAUGCACCUGCCCGGCUCCGAUCGAUGUGACGUUCUCUGCAAGUGCCCAAUUGGAACCGCGCUGCAUCUUUCUUUGACAGAGAAGUGCGCCGCAUCUCACGUUGGAUACAUCGUUGCAACCGAUGAGCGGCGCGCUGUGGCGAUCGGGGACAGGGGUGUUUGUAGAGCUAGAGCACACAUCCCUCCAAAAAAAAGAGCUAGAGCAUACAGAUUCGAUUUACUACUUGUUUAUCUUUUCAACAGUUCUGCCGGUCACGUUUGCAACCAGUCGUCCCGAUCGAACGGACUAGUAUGGCCUUCCGUUACAAAAUGUCCACAUGCAAAUUAAAAUGUGACAUGGUAGUGCACUGGUACUACCUGCGUGCACUCAGCAUCUUCAGAACAGUAGUAGCACUGACUGGAUAUGUAUGCUAAGCUCGCGGCCGUGCACUAUGGAAACGGAAGAAAGAGAUUCUUUUUCUUUUUUGAAAUUCGGAAGAAAGAGAUUCUGGAACAGUAUGUACGUACGAAACCAAAGCGCCAAACUAAAGCUACACGUACCGGGGAGGAACGAAGGUACAAAACGUAGGUUAUUCAGUGGGGUCGAUAGUCAGCUACAGGCCUGCAGAUCGAUUCAUGAUGGCGCCUGGCGGCGCCUGGGCGAUUAGGGUUUUGACCAUGGAACCGGAUUAGAGUUUUGCAAAACCUUGAAUUUGUAGAGCUUGUCGAAGAUGAACCCUCACCUCCAAGUCCCUGAAGUCUAUACCCAGUACUUCAUAAUCCCGGUCGUUUCUAGCCUUGACACUCUUCUAGGAGGGGAUUUGAUGAUGUUCUGGGAAAAGCUGGGAUUGCUAACUUAGCUUGGAGUACGUACUUGCAGCCGUCGUGCAUCCGCACUUGCCCGCUCCUGCCUACUGCCGUCGAGUACGCCGUCCUAGCUCCCGAGCCACACUGCAACGCCCGCUCCGUCCCUCUCUCAUGGCGGCGGCGGCCGGUUGUGCAUGCAGGUCAAUCAAUGUGAAGGCGCCAAUCCUAUAUGAUUUUUUUAGACAUACGAAAGUUAGUUAGUUGGGAUGGUUAACAGGGGCAGAGCUCGAUCUUGCUCGCUGGUCUGUAUCCUAUUCUUUUCAUUUUCAUCUUGCUAUUUAUUUCUCCUGCUGAGAAGUGGGUCUCACACUUUAUUUCUCCCACAGACAAGUAGGCCACACACACACACACAUGUUUUGCUUAAUCCAUCAAUCCCGGCCCUUUCCUGUUUGGAUACGACCUUAAGGUUAAAAAUGACCGGGAUUACAAAGUACAGAGUAUGGAUUCAGAGAUUUGAAGGUGAGGGUUCAUCUCGGACGAGCUCUACAAACUCAAAGUUUAAAUCAGACUUCACUGAACGGACUAGUAUAGCCUUCCAUUACAAAAUGUCCACAUGCAAAUUAAAAUGUAACAUGAUAGUGCACUGGCACUACCUGCGUGCACUCAGCAUCUUCAGAACAGUAGUAGCACUGACUGGAUAUGUAUGCUCAGCAUGCUCCGUACGCAACAUGUACAGAACGGUCGUGCACUACGGAGACGGAAGCAAGAAAUUUUCCCAUGCUUUGGUACGGUAUGUACGGUACGAAACCGCACCGCAAGUUGCAAGAGUGAUGACCAGCGACGUGUCCAUCUCCAUGGUGCUUCAUUAUUAGAAACUAUUUUUUUGCGGGAAUCAUCGAGCUUUAUUCAAUCACUAACAACACCAGCGCGAUCAGCCAUGAGGCUAGUCGCGAGGAAGCCAAGGGAAGAGUUCAUCCAACAGUCAGACACGCCUAGAGUGCUUGCAUGUUUCGCACACAGGUGAACUGAGGUAUUGGAUUGUCUCAUUACAUGAUGGAUGUCAAAGUAAUCAAACGAUUUGGCCGGCCCUCCAAUUUCGAGAAGGAUAGGCGCUAUAAGAGAGCGCGAGAAAUGUCGCGAGUUCCAGAGCUGACCAGCUCCAAGCAGUCGACCUCGAAGGUCACCCGCGAAAACCCCGAAGCUUGCCAAAGAUGACGCCAUCUCGCAGGGCCAGUGCUUCUGCGAUAAGUGGAUCCGUGAUGUUCUCAUGCGGCUUGCUCCAGGUAGCAAUGAGGUCGGAGGAGGUCCGUGCAACACCACCCGCCCCGCUUCUGUUUCCAUACAGAGACACGCUCCCAUCCGUAUUUAUUUUGAUGUAGUCUGGGUCCCGUGGUCUCCGUCCAUAGCCAGGUAAGGUUCUGAUAUGUUCCAUCGGUAGCUCCAAUAACAUUAGAGUUUCCCUAAUGCGCUUUAAGGAUUGAACCGGUUUCAGACUAAUCCUGUCAUGUGUUAUAUUGUCGCUAGAUGUCCAUAUAGCCCACAUACAGUGAUGAUCUUGGCCCGGUCUUCCUCCACGAAUCAGGAGUCACACAGAAUGUCCUUGCACCAAGUGAGGGGGUGGAGUUCUGGUAACUUGAUGUUCAGCCACGGUCGAGUUUCAGUCCAGAAGCUGCGGGCAUGAGAGCACUUGAUGAGUGCGUGAAACAUGUCCUCAUAUGCAUCUUUGCAUACCUUGCAUCGAGCCUCGGUCGCAAUAUGGCGGUAUUUUAGCGUGGCUUCCACCGGUAUAAUUCCCCGGAGUACUCGCCACCAAAAAACCCUAACCUUGGGCAGAACUUUGAGCUUCCAUAGCCGUGCCCACAUCUGUUUAUCAAUCUUUGAAGAUUCAGUGAUCGUCCCUUCCUCUAGAGCUUGUCGCUCGUUGCGAGUCAUUAGAGCACGAUACGCGGAUUUGACAGAAUAUAUCCCUGACCUCUCAUGAGCCCACGCCCAAAAAUCUUCACCUCCACCAUAUCUGAGUGGUAUGUUCAAGAUUGCAUCUGCAUCUGGUGGCAUAAAGUUUGAUCUUACUAACCCAGUUCUUCAACUCCAAUUUCCAGAGUCAAUUAGGUCGGAGACUGUGUGGAUAUUGGUACCGGGGAGGAACGUUGGUACAAAACGUAAAUUAUGCAGUGAGCUAGACCGUCAUUCACAUGCCUACAGAUCGAUUGCUCCAUGACGGCCAAACUUACCACGGGCGGCGGUUUACAUGACUACUUUGGUACUCCUAUGAGUAUAUCUCGAGACGUUUGGCCGACCUCUCAAAGUCCCUGCAGGUGAUGAAUUAAACACCGUUGCCAGUUCGAUAUGCUAGUAGGACAGUUUAUAGAUGCAUGGUAAAAAAAAAAUCCUAUUGUUCUGAUGCCAGGGCCGUAUGCAUCUACGUGAAUGAGGCAACUUACCCCCGAUGGCACGUCACCGGCGAGCAGUCUGUCCACGUCAUCGCCCUCGCAGGUGACCAAGAAUGUCGUGUGAGUGCGACUAUCAUGGCGGUGGGCGUCCCGGUUCAGCGCGUCUCGUGCAUCUACGCGCGGGCGUCAAGUUAUUAUGUCAAGGGAUCGAGUUUUGUCAGUGAAAGUCAAUGAAUUAUGGAGACGGAUGUAUCAUUCAUCACCUUGGUGAACGGUGGAGGAGGGGAACAUGAAGCGGAGCGUGUCGUGGAGCCUCCUCCCGGUGGGCACCCCUUCCGUUCCAUCUCCACCUCCACGUGGCCGUUCGUUGCUGCGCGGGCGUUGCGAGCUCUUCACCGGCGGCCACCCAACCAGCCUCUUCCUCCGACACAUAUAGCGUACGUCGCUUGGACCCACAGCAGAA
rnacentral:lncRNA from 1 species